UUCGCCUUCCUUUCUCACUCUCCCCUCCCGUCGCUGUCACGCCGCCUCCUUCUGUUUGGUUCUUACCUUGCAAUCUAAGUCAGCGCAACUCCUCUCCUCUUUACCUCCCCGUCUCCUAUCCCCCGGCCUCGGCCCUGGCCUCGACCUGUUUCGAGGGAUGACAUUUCUAUCAGCAUAUGAAUGCUGUCACUGUGACGUCACCUCCUUCUGUUUGGUUUUUACCUCGCAAUCUAAGUCAGCGCACCUCCUGUCCUUUAGCGCUUUCCAUCCCCGAUUCUCCGGCCUCGACCUCUUUUUGGGGGAUGAUGUUCCUAACAGCAUAUGGAAAGCUCAUCCGAGCCCAUCGCAAAGUUUGCGAUAAUCAAUGUCCUCAGCCGGGGCCCGAGCGCCAAAGAUUUAAUUCAUGCUGUUAAUAAACUUUCUAAUUGCUUCCCUUUUCUCCGUCUGAGUCUCUCCAGAUUGAAAUGAUAUCAGACCAGUUUCAGAAAGUACAUAAUUAAUUUGAUGCUUUGAGGUGUGACCUCUGACCUCUGUGUUGUUCCCUCCUGCAGAUCCGGUCUCAGUCAAAGCUAAAGCUGGAGCAGUCGUCACUCUGCCGUGUAAAUUUGCUGGGGCCAAAGCUGUUGUCCUGGCAGAGUGGAGCAGACCCGACCAGACCUUGGCGCCGGUUCUUCUUUACAGGAACAAGAAGGUGGAUGGCAAUCAGCUGGCUGCCUAUAAGGGCCGCACGUCUCUGCUGGCCGCCGAGAAAGGAGACCUGUCUCUGGUGCUGAAGAAAGUGGUGGGCAGAGACACCGGAAAGUAUGAGUGCCGAGUUUUACUGGAAGGAUCGGGAGACGAAAAAGAAGAGCUAGAGAUAGAGCAGCCCCGGUCAGGCGGCAGAGGAGGAAGAAGUGGAACCUUUCUGACAAGUGACCCAAUCAGCAUCGUUAUGCUGAAAGUGGAAGGUGGGCCCAGGCCCGGAGGAGACGUGCAGCUGAGACCCAACACCGUCCUGCCAGUGGGCCUGCUGGCUCUGCUGGCUCUGAUCGCUGGACUGUUGUGAUCCGCUGCAACAUCCGCAGGUUCAUCCUGCAGGGGGCGCCGAGGCUCUGAAAUAUUAAACGUUAACUUUAAUCUGA